CCUUUGGCAACUAGACGGGCUUUGUAGCGCUCAAGAGAACCAUCAGAAUGAGUCUUGACUUUGUAGACUUAUUUGCAACCAACCAAAUUCUUACCAGCAGGCAAAGGAACCAACUCCCGUGUAUUAGUUUUCUGUAGAGCAAACAACUCAUCCUCAAACACACGAAGGAGAGAGUAAUUAGGAAGUUGAGAAAACAGAGCCUCAUAAGGAGACCGAUUAGAAAGAAGAGGGGUAGGCAUACGGUUAAGAAGAAAAGCAGCAGUAAGAACUACCUCACCCCAAAACGGAGCCGGAACGGAGGCGGAGAGAAGGAGAGACCUAGCUGUCUCAAGGAGAUGACGGUGUUUACGCUCAGCUCAACCAUUUUGGGCAGGUGUAUCAGUACAAGAAGUUUGGUGAAUAGUACCCAAUUUGACCAAGUAUUCACAGAAUUCAGUUUUAAAGUAUUCUCCACCCAGGUCAGACCGCAACAAUUUAAUAGUAGAGCCAAACUGUGUAGUGACCAUAGACUGGAAGGUACGGUAUAUUUGGUAGAAGUCAGAUUUAUGAGUCAUAAGAUAAACCCAAGUGUAACGGGUGCAGUCAUCAAUAAAAGACAUAAUAUGCAGCCCCCUUUAGUAAGAACAGGAGAGGGUCCCUAGACAUCAGUAUGUACAAGAGAAAAAGGAGAAACAGAAAUAGAGGUACUUUUAUUAAAUGGUAAGGCUGACAUUUUAGCAAGUUUACAUCACCGACAUUCAUCAAUUUGACUAGGAGAAACUUUACCCAACAACCCUGACUGAGUUAAAGACCGUAAGCGGUCAACAGACAAAUGACCAAGGCGAGAAUGCCAUAAGUAAAACUGACUCGACUGAGAAUCUAACUGAAAUGAGGAAAGUGCAGCUAGAGAAGUAGAUAAGGGGAGAUGCAAGCUUUCGACUACAUAGAGGUCUCCAAUUCUACGGCCGAUCCCAAUCUGCUUUUUGGACACCCGAUCCUGCACACAAUAGACAGAAGAGGAAAAGAUAACAUCAAAACCAGACCUAUCAAGUUGACUAAUGGAUAAUAAACUGACAGAUAACUAAGGAACAUAAAGAACAGAAGGAAUAGUAACAGCAGACAUGGCAGAGGGGAAGACAGACCCAACAGACAGAACAGACAUACCGGAUCCAUUAGCAGUAUUAAUAGUAAUAGGAACGGGUGGGGGAAUACAAUUUUGAAGUAAGGAAAUGUGAGGAGUCAUAUGAUGAGAGGCACCAGAAUCAAAAAGCCAGACAGAAGAAGGGAUACCUGAAGAGGACCCAAGCAAACCUGAACGAAGAGAGGCAAGAGCGGAGGCAGAUGUGGAUAACUGAGAGGUGGACAGGGUAUGCUGAAGUUUUGCAACCUAAGCACUCAAGGAAGCCAAGUUAGGAUCGGGAGCCAGAGUGGAUGCAGUGUAAGUAGCAGAAGGUCGAAAAGUACUCGAAGUAGGACCUCGAAACUGUGUCUAAGAAGAUGGAGCAAGCUGACGUCCCUUUUUGGGACAAUUGUUCUUCCAAUGACCCCUUUGAUGGCAGAAAGCACACUCAUCUGGCCCUAACGGUCCUUUCUUGGGUUUCGCAGUGGCCUGAAGCUGAUGAGGAGGAGGGGUCGAUAACAAGGGCUGCUUGGUAGGAGCCAAGAAGACAGAAGGAGGCAAAGUCUGACUGGCUGUCUUAAGGCAGGUUUCCUCAGAGAGGAGUUCACGAACAAUAGCAUCCACAGAGGAAAGAGGAGAUCGAUGAAGGAUGCCACCUCGAAUAGCCUCAUACUGAGGGGAGAGGGCUGUUAAAAACUGUACUAAACGACCUUGCUCCCGAAACUCAAUAUAAGUGUCUAGUAUCUUGAGACUAGGUGGUUCCAUAAGAGCCAACUGAUCCCAGAGACCUGUCAUCUCAAUAUAAAAGUCCUGAAUAGUCUGAUUCCGCUGACGAGCAUUCUGAAUAGCUGUUUCCAACUCAUACCGCUUGGCAAAGUUGGACUGCUGAUAGACACCUAGUAAAUAAUCCCACACCUCUUUGGCAGUAUUGUACUUGGAAAACAUCAUUCCAAUACGGUCAGCCACGGAAUUAUGAAACCAGGUCAGAACUUGGGCAUUAUCACAAUCCCAAGUAUCACAGAAAGUCAGAUAUCCAUCCUCCUUCGGGUCUGAUGGUCGAGGAAUAGAACCAGAAACAUAGCCCCAUUUUUUUCGACCGAGAAGAAAAUUUUUCAUAACACUAGACCAAGAAGGAUAGUUGUCACCAGUAAGUUUGCAUUUAAUAGCUUGAAUUUUAUCUUUUGACAUUGUGAUGAACCAGAAGGAAAAGAUGGGGCAAAGUGUGAUAACUAGCAAAAAUAAAAAGAACUGAGGGGUCAAAGUAUAAUAAUCAGGAACUUGUUUGGUCCAAAAGAAGAAUGAAGGAGAACUGGUGGUAACGAAAGACAGCCGUAGGUCAACUUCGAACCACACACACAGAGACAGAGAGAGAGAGAUUGAGGAAAAGAGAGAAAGACAAGAGUCGAAGUCGACUUUGGAGCAGCCGGCAUAGACAGCGCUUCGAUCGCGCGAAGCGAAGCAGGAGAGAACCAACGACGACGACGACUCAAGUCUAGUGACAGAUCACGAACCAGAGGCUAGGGUUUUCACGAAUGGGUUGCGAGGCAGAGUACCCAGGAGACGAACCAAAUGACAGACGAAGGACAACUCGAGACCUUCGCUCGAACCAGACGAACACAGAAGAAACAGAGGAGGUCACGACCUGCGACUCAGAGAGAAAAUACCAGAGGGUUGAUUUUCGAGAGACUAUUUGUGAUUAACUCACAAAGAGCUUCUAGGGUUUCAGUUCAAACCUUGCUCUGAUACCAUAUAAGUUUUCUGAGUCAAACUGUAUAUCUCAUUAAAUUGAACAAAGAAUACAUCACUCACUUAUAUAGAAUGCUAAAUCCUAAUCCUAAACAAAAUACAUCAUUGAUAGAGAAUGCUAUUAGCUAUAGAACACUAACACUAAUUCCUAAUCCUAAAAGGAAAAGGAAAACGGAGAACACUAUUCUCACAGUAUUAUCUUAUGCAAUUUUAUCUUUUCUUUUGUGGAAAUUUUGUUGGAAUUUUGUAUUUCAUUUGUUGUGACGUGUUAUAGAAACCAAAAACUCACUUUUCGUAGUUUUUAGAUAAUUAGAGAUUGACAAUUCCAACUUCCUUUACUUCAUUCAAAAAGUUGUUCAAAAUAAUUGAUCAGAAUUAUUUUGGGGAACCAGUUUGUGCAUAUUAUUCAAAAUAAUUUUACUUUUAGGAGCAGUUAGUUUUUCGUUUGUAUUUUUUUUUUCCUUUGUGUUUUUGGCGCUAACCCCUUGCAGGUAAUGACACAUAUAGACAUGGUUAAUCAUUUAAGGUAAUCUCCUAUACUUUUUGAUUUUAUUUUUUACAUUUAGGACAAUGCAUCGUUUAGGUUGGGGGCAGAAAAUACUUAUUUUGAGAAGAAUUUAUAUAUUUGCUUGCUGCUAUGAGUUAGUUGUUUUGUUUUUAAAAAAAAAAAAGUUAGUGCUCAUGGUAAUCUUUUGUUCUAUACAUUGGGUGAUUGGGCAUACUUGUGGUAUUUUAUUGCUUUAACUCGAGAAUUGUGUUGAAGUUUGAUAUGCUAGCUACUUUGUUACAGCAUUCCAUGUGUUCAUAUUUGGAAAUCAUUGCACUACACUUCUGCCACAUGAAUAUGAUUUUUAGUUGAUAUGACUUGAAAAUCUUGAAGAAUGAUAGUGGAGACUUUUGAGCCUACGAGUUUUGUGCUAAUCUUUUAUUGGAGGGUUGUGAUACAUCUACUCUUAAUUUUCUUUGGAAGCGCAUUAAUUUGUUGUUUAGUCUCAUUAUUUCUUAAUUUUGAUUGAAUGUUGAGGAUAAAUCAAUUUGUUACCAUGCUUUUAUUCCCUUGAGAUCUUCAACCUGAUCUGGAAGCAAAUCUCGUCUUGCCUUCGACACCAGCUGGCAGUGUCAAUUACCAGACAUGGUUAAUCAUUUAAGGUAAAGAAACAAGAUUGAUUGCGAAGGGGCCCAUCCAUGGAGGAGAAAGCAAUAGAGGCUUUGAAGAAGUUGAAUGGGAAUAUGACCCUACGAUUAUGUCUCUUUGUUGUUGGCCCUUUUUGGUAUGGCGUGAAUCUUAUUGUUGAAUCGAUGGUCUAGGCAUUUGAUAGGUGGACAGGAUGGUUGGUUGUGAAGAGGAGAGGACUAGAGGAGUGGUGUGGAAAGCAACAUACUAAAAGUCACCAAUUUCCCAAAAGCUUAAAGCUGUUAGGAAAUGAGCCUAACAAUGUAUAUUGUGCUAUCUAGCACCCUCCUUCACAUGCAACUCCAUCUUGCACGUGGAGAGACAAAGAACCAAACAUAAGGAGAUUCAAACAACCAAACAGAGAACACGAAACCAAAUGGGGUCUGAAUACCAAAUGCCAAUAGAGAGAUUUGAACCUAAGACCUCUCUCAACCUUAACUCUAAUACCAUGCUUUUGGGAAAAUUGGUGACUUAACACAACAGACCUUCUUAAGUCCUGAUUAUUGUGUUCAUCACCAACUGGAAGAUGCAUACUCAAUUUGCACUCACUUUACAGAUUAUUAAUAAUGUUACUUAUAAAAAAUAUAUAUACUUAUCACUCUUUGGCCAUAAGCAUGCUGAAUGCGAUUGUAAAUGUUACUCCUUGAAAAUAGAAUUUUUUUUUUUGGUGAAAUAUUGAUUGAGGCUGUUAGAAUUUUUUAAAAUAAAAAACUUCUAUGGGUGUUUUUCAGAUAUAUCUAUGCUGUUUUGUUGGCUACUGGUGGUAAAAGGCUUGGAUGUUAGAAGAUAAAUAUAAUUGACCUUUCUACUGCUACUAGGUGGUAUUCUUAGGUUAGUAUGAAAGGAACCUGAGGUAUGGGUUCUAUUGACAAAGUGGGAUGGAGGUUUCUUAUACAUGGAGGAGGCUUCUAUGUUAAGUUGUUGACUACAGGAUUUUUGUCGGUCCUCCUGGAUUCCUAUAUCCGUUUAGGAUCUGGCUUGUAUCUUUACAUUGUGUGU